rnacentral:lncRNA from 10 species
AAAUUUCCCAAAAGAAGACAUACAAAUGACCAACAGGUAUAUCAAAAAAUGUUCAACAUCACUAGCCAUCAAGGAAAUGCAAAUCAAAACUACAAUGAGAUAUCACCUUACUCCAGUUAAAAUGACUACUAUCAAAAAAAAAAACCAUAACAAAUGCUGGCGAAGUUGUGUAGAAAAUGGAACUCUUAUACAUUGUUGAUGGGAAUGUAAAUUAGUAUAGCUAUUAUGGAAAACAAUAGCACUAGUCACAAUAGCCAACAU